rnacentral:rRNA from 1 species
UGAGGAAUAUUGGUCAAUGGACGCAAGUCUGAACCAGCCAUGUCGCGUGCAGGAAGACUGCCCUAUGGGUUGUAAACUGCUUUUGUACGGGAAGAAAAUCAGCUACGUGUAGUUGUUUGCCGGUACCGUACGAAUAAGGAUCGGCUAACUCCGUGCCAGCAGCCGCGGUAAUACGGAGGAUCCGAGCGUUAUCCGGAUUUAUUGGGUUUAAAGGGUGCGUAGGCGGACUAGUAAGUCAGUGGUGAAAUCCUGCAGCUUAACUGUAGAAUUGCCGUUGAUACUGUUAGUCUUGAGUACAUUUGAGGUAGGCGGAAUGUGGUGUGUAGCGGUGAAAUGCAUAGAUAUACCACAGAACACCGAUUGCGAAGGCAGCUUACUAAACUGUAACUGACGCUGAGGC